rnacentral:rRNA from 1 species
AUUGAACGCUGGCGGCAUGCCUUACACAUGCAAGUCGAACGGUAACAGGUCUUCGGACGCUGACGAGUGGCGAACGGGUGAGUAAUACAUCGGAACGUGCCCAGUCGUGGGGGAUAACUACUCGCAAGAGUAGCUAAUACCGCAUACGAUCUGAGGAUGAAAGCGGGGGACCUUCGGGCCUCGCGCGAUUGGAGCGGCCGAUGGCAGAUUAGGUAGUUGGUGGGAUAAAAGCUUACCAAGCCGACGAUCUGUAGCUGGUCUGAGAGGACGACCAGCCACAAUGGGACUGAGACACGGCCCAGACUCCUACGGGAGGCAGCAGUGGGGAAUUUUGGACAAUGGGCGAAAGCCUGAUCCAGCAAUGCCGCGUGCAGGAUGAAGGCCUUCGGGUUGUAAACUGCUUUUGUACGGAACGAAAAAGCUUCUCCUAAUAUCCAUGGCUAAUGACGGUACCUGAAGAAUAAGCACCGGCUAACUACGUGCCAGCCGCCGCGGUAAAAC